rnacentral:rRNA from 1 species
AGGGGACUAGCGUUGUUCGGAAUUACUGGGCGUAAAGCGCACGUAGGCGGAUUAGUCAGUCAGAGGUGAAAUCCCAGGGCUCAACCCUGGAACUGCCUUUGAUACUGCUAGUCUUGAGUUCGAGAGAGGUGAGUGGAAUUCCGAGUGUAGAGGUGAAAUUCGUAGAUAUUCGGAGGAACACCAGUGGCGAAGGCGGCUUACUGGACGAUAACUGACGCUGAGGCUCGAAAGCGUGGGGAGCAAACAGCAUUAGAUACCC